AGACUAUACUAGAGUUUGAUCAUGGCUCAGGAUGAACGCUAGCGGCAGGCCUAAUACAUGCAAGUCGAGGGGUAACGCGGUAGCAAUACUGGCGACGACCGGCGCACGGGUGCGUAACGCGUAUGCAAUUUGCCCAUAACAAGGGAAUAGCCCGGAGAAAUCCGGACUAAUACCCUAUAAUAUAGUGAUUAGGCAUCUAAUUACUAUUAAAGAUUUAUCGGUUAUGGAUGAGCAUGCGUCUGAUUAGCUAGUUGGUGAGGUAACGGCUCACCAAGGCUACGAUCAGUAGGGGGUCUGAGAGGAUGAUCCCCACACUGGUACUGAGAUACGGACCAGACUCCUACGGGAGGCAGCAGUAGGGAAUAUUGGGCAAUGGGCGAGAGCCUGACCCAGCCAUGCCGCGUGUAGGAAGAAGGCUUUCUGAGUUGUAAACUACUUUUGAUUGGGAACAAAAGAUCCUUGCGAGGAGCAUUGAGUGUACCAAUAGAAUAAGCACCGGCUAACUCCGUGCCAGCCGCCGCGGUAAU
rnacentral:rRNA from 1 species